CGUGCCUAAUACAUGCAAGUCGAGCGAGCGGAACUAACAGAUUUACUUCGGUAAUGACGUUAGGAAAGCGAGCGGCGGAUGGGUGAGUAACACGUGGGGAACCUGCCCCAUAGUCUGGGAUACCACUUGGAAACAGGUGCUAAUACCGGAUAAGAAAGCAGAUCGCAUGAUCAGCUUUUAAAAGGCGGCGUAAGCUGUCGCUAUGGGAUGGCCCCGCGGUGCAUUAGCUAGUUGGUAAGGUAAAGGCUUACCAAGGCGAUGAUGCAUAGCCGAGUUGAGAGACUGAUCGGCCACAUUGGGACUGAGACACGGCCCAAACUCCUACGGGAGGCAGCAGUAGGGAAUCUUCCACAAUGGACGCAAGUCUGAUGGAGCAACGCCGCGUGAGUGAAGAAGGUUUUCGGAUCGUAAAGCUCUGUUGUUGGUGAAGAAGGAUAGAGGUAGUAACUGGCCUUUAUUUGACGGUAAUCAACCAGAAAGUCACGGCUAACUACGUGCCAGCAGCCGCGGUAAUACGUAGGUGGCAAGCGUUGUCCGGAUUUAUUGGGCGUAAAGCGAGCGCAGGCGGAAGAAUAAGUCUGAUGUGAAAGCCCUCGGCUUAACCGAGGAACUGCAUCGGAAACUGUUUUUCUUGAGUGCAGAAGAGGAGAGUGGAACUCCAUGUGUAGCGGUGGAAUGCGUAGAUAUAUGGAAGAACACCAGUGGCGAAGG
rnacentral:rRNA from 1 species